AUGGAAAUCAUCUUUUUAGAUAGUCAGGGGCUGAAGGCUGUAAGCUCUUCAUUCAAAGUGUUUGGUGUUUGGUCUGGCAGACAGUUUUGGGUAGUGAGCCCACUCAUUACUUGUAUGGUUUUAGGUUCAGGACCCAGAUCCUGUUGGCAGGCUGUGAUACAGUGGACACCAGUGUUGAGUAAAAUGUUCAGUCCUGAAACUGGCCACCCGGACCAAUCCUCACCUUUUCUGACCUGGAAAAACUUCCUGCUGACGUCCUCCAGACCAACCGGACGCCUCAAUUUUUGAUUUUAUUUUUCUAGAUUUUUUUUUUCCCCGUCCUUCAAUGUAUCUUUAGGUAUUUUAUGUGUUUUGGCUGGUUUAUAUCAGUUCCCUUCAGUAUAUGUAUUAGCAGGGGCAAUGAUUAGCCCAAGUGUUAAGUAUCUUUUUAUCUAUAGCUAAGUCAGUACCACNUCUGUAGUUUAUAGAAUAAAACAACAAUGUUCAUUUUACUCA
rnacentral:lncRNA from 1 species